UGGCUCAGAUUGAACGCUGGCGGCAGGCCUAACACAUGCAAGUCGAGCGGUUGAAGGAAGCUUGCUUCCUGAUUCAGCGGCGGACGGGUGAGUAAUGCCUAGGAAUCUGCCUGGUAGUGGGGGACAACGUUUCGAAAGGAACGCUAAUACCGCAUACGUCCUACGGGAGAAAGCAGGGGACCUUCGGGCCUUGCGCUAUCAGAUGAGCCUAGGUCGGAUUAGCUAGUUGGUGAGGUAAUGGCUCACCAAGGCGACGAUCCGUAACUGGUCUGAGAGGAUGAUCAGUCACACUGGAACUGAGACACGGUCCAGACUCCUACGGGAGGCAGCAGUGGGGAAUAUUGGACAAUGGGCGAAAGCCUGAUCCAGCCAUGCCGCGUGUGUGAAGAAGGUCUUCGGAUUGUAAAGCACUUUAAGUUGGGAGGAAGGGCAGUCAGCGAAUACCUUGCUGUCUUGACGUUACCGACAGAAUAAGCACCGGCUAACUCUGUGCCAGCA
rnacentral:rRNA from 1 species